CUAAGGGGGAAGCUGCGGCGGUGGUAGGUGGAAGAUGGGAGGAAGAGGAGGGAUUUUUGAAGGUAGAGAGGCGUUGGAGAGGGGAUGCAGAAGACGAGGCAGUGGCGGAGGAGGGGAGUGGAGAUCUUUGCAGUGCUGCUGGUGAAGCCAUCCUUUAACAACCUUUUUAGCCCUGCUUCAUUUUACAAGCAGCAGUCCACAAAUUAUAAUCUUUAAAUUUGCCCCAUAAAUUGCACUUAUCUUCUUUUAUU
rnacentral:misc_RNA from 1 species